rnacentral:tRNA from 1 species
UGCGGCCUGGUAGUUCAGUUGGUUAGAAUGCCAGCCUGUCACGCUGGAGGUCGAGGUUCAAGUCCUGCCUCCGCAACCA